rnacentral:rRNA from 1 species
UACAGAGGUCUCGAGCGUUGUUCGGAUUCAUUGGGCGUAAAGGGUGCGUAGGUGGCGAGGUAAGUCGGAUGUGAAAGCUCCGAGCUCAACUCCGAAAUGGCAUUGGAAACUACCUUGCUCGAGGGUUGGAGGGGGGACUGGAAUACUUGGUGUAGCAGUGAAAUGCGUAGAUAUCAAGUGGAACACCAGUGGCGAAGGCGAGUCCCUGGACAACUCCUGACACUGAGGCACGAAAGCUAGGGGAGCAAACAGG